ACGAUUUGUAUGGCCUCACUCAGGAAGG
rnacentral:sRNA from 1 species